UUAAUACAAGAUGGCAUCAUGAGUCCGCAUGUUCACAUGAUUAAAGGUAUUCCGGUAGACGAUGGGGAUGCGUUCCAUUAGAUAGUAGGCGGGGUAACGGCCCACCUAGUCUUCGAUGGAUAGGGGUUCUGAGAGGAAGGUCCCCCACAUUGGAACUGGGACACGGUCCAAACUCCUACGGGAGGCAGCAGUGAGGAAUAUUGGUCAAUGGGCGAGAGCCUGAACCAGCCAAGUAGCGUGAAGGAUGACUGCCCUAUGGGUUGUAAACUUCUUUUAUAAAGGAAUAAAGUCGGGUAUGCAUACCCGUUUGCAUGUACUUUAUGAAUAAGGAUCGGCUAACUCCGUGCCAGCAGCCGCGGUAAUACGGAGGAUCCGAGCGUUAUCCGGAUUUAUUGGGUUUAAAGGGAGCGUAGAUGGAUGUUUAAGUCAGUUGUGAAAGUUUGCGGCUCAACCGUAAAAUUGCAGUUGAUACUGGAUAUCUUGAGUGCAGUCGAGGCAGGCGGAAUUCGUGGUGUAGCGGUGAAAUGCUUAGAUAUCACGAAGAACUCCGAUUGCGAAGGCAGCCUGCUAAGCUGCAACUGACAUUGAGGCUCGAAAGUGUGGGUAUCAAACAGGAUUAGAUACCCUGGUAGUCCACACGGUAAAC
rnacentral:rRNA from 1 species